UUACGAAAAGGCAAACCUCAAGUAAUUGGGGGGCGCAAAGCCGAUGGGUCCUGAUGAUGAGCCAGGACAGCCAGGCUGCCGAAG
rnacentral:ncRNA from 1 species